AGCAGCCGCGGUAAUUCCAGCUCCAAUAGCGUAUAUUAAAGUUGUUGCAGUUAAAAAGCUCGUAGUUGAAUUUCGGGAUCAGUAGGUCGGUCAUGCCUCAGGUAUGUACUGGUCUCACUGGUUCCUCCUUCCUGAUGAACCGUAAUGCCAUUAAUUUGGUGUUGCGGGGAAACUGGACUGUUACUUUGAAAAAAUUAGAGUGUUUAAAGCAGGCUAACGCUUGAAUACAUUAGCAUGGAAUAAUGAAAUAGGACGUUCGAUCCUAUUUUGUUGGUUUCUAGGAUUGACGUAAUGAUUAAUAGGGAUAGUUGGGGGCAUUAGUAUUCAAUUGUGAGAGGUGAAAUUCUUGGAUUUAUUGAAGACUAACUACUGCGAAAGCAUUUGCCAGGAUGUUUUCAUUAAUCAAGAACGAAAGUUAGGGAUCGAAGACGAUCAGAUACCGUCGUAGUCUUAACCAUAAACUAUAGCCGACUAGGGAUCGGAUGAUGUUAUUUUUAAUGUACUCUAUUCGGCGCCGUUA
rnacentral:rRNA from 1 species